GAUGAACGCUGACAGAAUGCUUAACACAUGCAAGUCGAUGGGGAAGGCUGAGCUUGCUUAGCUGGUAACCAUGGCGGACGGGUGAGUAACGCGUAAGGAACUUACCUGCGGGACUGGGAUAACGGAGGGAAACUUCUGACAAGACCGGAUAAAGUUACUGGGCAGCAUUGUUUGGUAAUGAAAGGAGACGCCUGCGGAGAGUCUUGCGUCCUAUUAGCUAGUUGGUUGGGUAACGGCUGACCAAGGCGAAGAUAGGUAGCCGGCCUGAGAGGGUGGACGGCCACAAGGGGACUGAGAUACGGCCCUUACUCCUACGGGAGGCAGCAGUGGGGAAUAUUGGACAAUGGGGGCAACCCUGAUCCAGCAAUUCUGUGUGCACGAAGAAGGUUUUCGGAUUGUAAAGUGCUUUCAGCAGGGAAGAAGGAAGUGACGGUACCUGCAGAAGAAGCGACGGCUAAAUACGUGCCAGCAGCCGCGGUAAUACGUAUGUCGCGAGCGUUAUCCGGAAUUAUUGGGCAUAAAGGGCAUCUAGGCGGCCUAACAAGUCAGGGGUGAAAACCUGCGGCUCAACCGCAGGCCUGCCUUUGAAACUGUAAGGCUGGAGUACCGGAGAGGUGGACGGAACUGCACGAGUAGAGGUGAAAUUCGUAGAUAUGUGCAGGAAUGCCGAUGAUGAAGAUAGUCCACUGGACGGAAACUGACGCUGAAGUGCGAAAGCCGGGGGAGCGAGCAGG
rnacentral:rRNA from 1 species